rnacentral:lncRNA from 1 species
UUGUGUUUAGUGGCAAAGAAAAAUAUGUGUUGUGCUUGGCAUUAAUUGUGUGCAUGUUUGUCUUUUUGUAAAAAUUUAGUUUUCUGCAAUGGCUUCAGCAUCUUAGAAUAUAGUAGCUGAACUUAAUAAGGGUGAGAAAUUAAACGGUGAAAAUUAUGAAAUAUGGCAAAUGAAAAUCCAAUAUGUAUUGGAGGAACAAGAGGCGCUGGAAGCCUUAAACCUUACCAUGAAUGAGCCUGAGGAUGGAAUAACGGUUCAACACAUAAAGGAUAAGGAGGCUUAUAUUGCCUGGAAAAAGAAGAACUCAAUUGCUCAGAUUACAUUGCUGAGUAGCAUGGAAAAUGAUAUCAUGCGAGAGUUCAGGCCUUUCGAGAUGGCAAAGGAAAUAUAGGAAGCAUUAAAAGAAAAGUUUGGUGGAACUUCUGUCACCAAACUUAGGCCGCUGACCAUCAAGUUCGACACAUAUAAGAAACGCACUAAUAAUAAUAUGAAGCAGCAUUUAAGGAAAAUGUCGAACAUGAUAAGUGAACUGCGAGAUGUUGGACAUGUGCUAACUGAUGAACAACAAGUUUAAGCUAUAAUUCGAUCUUUGCCUCACAGUUGGGAGCACAUGAAAGUUCACUUAACCCAUAAUGAAAGCAUUAGAACUUUCACUGAUGCUGGUCGUCAUCUGGAAUUGGAGGAAGACCGUCUUGAGGCAAAUAAAACCACUAAUGAAGUGUAUAUGGCNNNNNNNNNNNNNNNNNNNNNNNNNAGCUUCAAGCGAGAGCAUUUUAGUGGUCAUUUUAAGAAAGGCAAUGGUAAUGGCAAGACCUCUAAGAAGCUCAAGCAUAGCCAGCCGGGUAAAAGAAAGCGUCCUUUUAAGAGGAACAAAGCAAAAUUGAGAUGCUACAACUGUGGCAAGAAGGGUCACUUUGCUCGUAAAUGCUCCGAGGCAAAGAAGGUAAAAACCCUUAGCACAAAUAUAAGUAUGUCUUAUGUUUCAAGUUCUGUGUUCUUAGCUGAAUCUUAUCUUUUGUGGACUGUAGACUCAGGGACCACAGACCAUGUAGCAAGAGAUCGAGAUGCUUUCGUGGAAUAUCGUCGAAUUCCACAAGCAGCAAGAUGGAUAUAUGUGGGAAAUAAUUCAAGAGUUGAAGUAAAGGGGAUUGGGACCUGCAAAUUGAAUAUGCGAGGUGGUCAACCCUUAAUUUUACAUGAUAUAUUAUAUGCUCCAGAUAUUCGGCGAAACUUAAUUUCUGUUGUUAUGUUACUUAAGUUUGGCUAUAUCUUAAAUUUUCAUGGUAAUGGUGUAGACAUAUUGCUAGGGACAACUUAUUAUGGAUCUGGUUAUGUACUAAAUGGUUUUAUUGUACUUGAUACUGAUUAUAGUAUGUGUAAUGUAAUAAGUACUGUUUUUUCCUUUGUUACAUCUACUAGUAACCCAAAUAUGGAUGAAAAUAUUUGGCAUGCUAGGUUAGGUCACAUUGGGCAACAACGAAUGAAUAGAUUAGCCAAAGAGGGAUUAUUAGGCCCUGUUGAAAAGGUUAAUCUAGCUAUAUGUGAAUAUUGCUUAGCAGAAAAAACAGCAAGAAAACCAUUUGGUAAAGAAACUAGAGCCGAUUUUCCAUUGCAAUUAAUUCAUUCUGACAUUUGUGGGCCGAUGAAUGUAAGGGCAAGACAUGGGGCUUCUUAUUUCAUCACAUUUAUUGAUGAUUAUACACGUUUUGGUUAUGUCUAUUUGAUAUCUCAUAAAUCUGAUGCAUUAGAUUGCUUUAUAAGAUAUUUAAACUUUGUUGAAAAUCAAUUAGACUGAAAAAUCAAAGUGUUAAGAACUGACCGUGGACGUGAGUAUUUGUCUGAUCAGUUCAAACAAAUUUGUGAUGAAAAAGGAAUAGGUAGACAGUUAACUAUUCCUAGUACUCCAUAACAAAUGGUGUUGCGGAAAGAAGAAAUAGAACCCUAUUGGAAAUGGUUAGGUCUAUGAUGGCACAAGCUAAUUUGCCGAUCACCUAUUGGGGUGAUGCAUUAUUAACAGCUGCAUAUGUACUUAACCUAGUGCCCUCAAAAUCAGUAACUUCCACCCCUUAUGAAUUAUGGACCAGUCGCAAGCCUGACCUAAGUAAUUUAAGACCUUGGGGAUGCGCUGCAUAUAUUCAUGAUUCUUCUCAUAAAUAUGGAAAAUUGGGUCCAAGGGGCAAAAAGAGUAUUUUUAUUCGAUAUUCUGAAACCUCCAACGGAUAUGUGUUCGUUGGUAACACUGACAAUGGAAGUAUUACUGAGUUUGAAUCUCGUAAUGCCACAUUUUUGGAAAAUAAUUUUCCAAAUCAGGGUGAAAUAAAUAAAGGUUUAUCUUUAUUUGAGGUAGAGGACCAUGAUAAUUUGUUUAAUCAAACUCAAUUGGUAAAAAAUCUUGAAAAUCCAUCAACAACAUCUGGUUCAAGUGGGAGAAAUUCAAGAAAUGAUGAAUUUAUUUCACAACAAUCUCAAUUACGAAAAAGUAACCAUGGAUUAGUUCCCCAUUGACGAUUUGAGAUUGAAGGAGAAGCAUUUCUUGUUACACCUCAAGAGGAAGGUGAACCGAGAAAUAUUGAUGAAGCUCUUAAAUGUCCUGCAAAAGAGCAAUGGAUGAAAGCAAUGGAAGAAGAAAUGGAGUCAAUGAGAUCAAACCAAGUUUAGAAAUUGGUUAAUCUUCCGAAAGGUCGGAAAGCAAUUGGGAACAAAUGGGUUCUCAAAAUAAAGUGCAAGGCAGAUGGCACAAUAGAAAGAUAUAAGGCACACCUUGUAGCAAAAGGCUAUACACAACAAGAGGGGAUUGACUAUGAAGAGACAUUUUCUUCUGUUGUGAGAUUCACCUCAAUUCGCAUAAUUUUAGCCAUAGUAGCUAGUUUGGAUCUUGAAUUACAUCAAAUGGAUGUAAAAAUAGCUUUUUCAAUGGAGAAUUGGAAGAAGAAAUUUAUAUGGAACAACCUAUCGGUUUUAUUAAAGAAGGCCAAGAGCACAAAGUGUGUAGACUUUUGAAGUCUAUUUAUGGCCUUAAACAAUCUUCUAGACAAUGGAAUAUAAAAUUUCAUCAGGCUGUCAUAUCAUAUGAUUUUGCCUUGAUUGAUGAAGACCACUGUGUCUAUAUUAAAAGAUCCAAAGAUAAAUUUGUGAUUUUAUCACUUUAUGUGGAUAAUAUACUAAUGGCUGCUAAUGAUAAAGAAUUCUUAGCAUCAGUUAAGAAUUGGUUGUUCACGAAUUUUGAAAUAAAGGACAUGGGAGAAGCUAACUAUAUUCUUGGGGUUAAAAUUGAAAGAGAUCGUUCAAAAAGGUUAUUAUCUCUUUCACAGGAGCCUUCUAUAAAGAAAAUUAUUGAACAGUUUCAUAUGCAAGAUUGUAAACCCAUUGAUACUCCCAUUGCAAAAGCUGAAGCAUUAAGCCAAAGAAUGUGCCCGAAGACUCCACAAGAAGAAGAGCAAAUGAAAAGAGUUCCCUAUUCUAGUGCAGUUGGAAGUCUUAUAUAUGCAAUGAUGUGUACAAGACCAGAUUUGCAGUUGGUAUGGUAAGUAGAUAUCAAUUACACCCUGGCCAUGACCAUUGAAAAGUGGUCAAAAGGAUAUUGAGAUAUCUAAAAGGUACUGCGGAUUAUUCAAUAUGUUAUCAAGGAAAUAAUUUGCAUCUUGAAGGCUAUACAGAUGCUGAUUGGGGAGGUGAUUUGGAUGAAAGAAAAUCAACCUCUGGUUAUGUUUUCUUACUAAGUAAUGGGGCAAUUUCAUGGAGUAGUAAGAAACAAACUUGUAUAGCUUUGUCCAUGAUGGAAGCUGAAUUUGUAGCUUCUUCAGCGGUAGUACAAGAAGCAGUUUGGUUAAAGAGAUUUCUUAAUCAUUUGGGGGUUAUGAAAAAUGCUGCAUAUCCAGUACUAGUACAUUGUGAUAGCCAAGCAUCGAUAGCUUAUACAAAAGAUCCCAAAUAUCACUCAAAGACUAAGCAUAUUGAUACAAAAUAUAACUUUGUGAGAGACAUGGUUGCACAAAAGAAAGUGAACAUACAGUACAUAUCUACGAAUCAAAUGAUCNNNNNNNNNNNNNNNNNNNNNNNNNNNNNNNNNNNNNNNNNNNNNNNNNNNNNNNNNNNNNNNNNNNNNNNNNNNNNNNNNNNNNNNNNNNNNNNNNNNNNNNNNNNNNNNNNNNNNNNNNNNNNNNNNNNNNNNNNNNNNNNNNNNNNNNNNNNNNNNNNNNNNNNNNNNNNNNNNNNNNNNNNNNNNNNNNNNNNNNNNNNNNNNNNNNNNNNNNNNNNNNNNNNNNNNNNNNNNNNNNNNNNNNNNNNNNNNNNNNNNNNNNNNNNNNNNNAUAUAUAUAUAUAUAUAUAUAUGCAUUAAUGCUUAGUGCAUAUGAUUAGUUCAUUUAAAGAAAUGUAUGUUGGACAGAAAUUAGAUUGGCCUUCUCACAUGGGCAAUCACCUCUAUAACUUGUGGUUGAUAGAGAUGAGAUAAUUUUAAGCAUAAUGUAUUUAUAAGCUCAAGCUUAAAAUUAGUGUCGCCUUGAUAGUAAAUCAAGAUGAGGUCACUAUGUAAUAUUUUGUGACCGAAGGUGAGUAAACCCAUAAAUCAUCUUGUCCGUUUUAAAUACCAAAUGUGAGUUCUGCAGUAAUAAUGAGAAAGAAAGUAGAGUGGUGAACUCAAGUUGGACACUAAGUGUAUCUGAACUAUCAUUCGUAUGGUAUUUCAUAUAAUGAGAAUCAACAUACGCUCCAUGAAAAAAGAAAAAAAAAACCAUAACAUGCGCUUCAUACCACAUGUGCAUAAUUCAACCAAUAAGGGUAACGAGAGAAUUAAUCUCUUAUCUCUCGUUGUGUGAGCCCUGAGGCUAUAAUUACCUCUGUUAGUACUCUUAUUACUUUUACUGUUUCUUGAGAUUUAGUUCAGUGUAUGCUAUCUUAGAAUGUUACCUGCAAUCAUGCUUGAUUCGAUUUAUUGUGACAUAUCUGGAAAAGCAACUAAACUACAAUUAAGAGAUUCGAAAGAGAAAGGAAGAUCAUUUUGUGUCUCAUUUCUUUGUUGUAUUCACUAGUCGACCAAUCAUCUUGACUACGUGUUAAAGCAUGAUUGUGAAUAUAAAACAGAAAACAAGUAAUGUGAUAAGUUAAAGUGAGAUCAUGAGGUACUUGAAAUGUGACUUAAAUGUUCUGGGGUACUGCAUACUUACUCUACUGAACUACUAUAUAUUCCUAACAGAUGUAUGGUAGUGUGAGCUUGUUAUCAUUUUUUUUAUUGGUAUAUUGGUCGCAUGAUCUAUUUGCCUGUAUGAAAGUCACAGAGAAAAGACUUGUUCGUAAUGGUUAAAACUCACACUGUUGAACUCAUCAUGUGUGAGUGGGAGAUGUUGGAAAAAUCGGUUUGGUCCACCCAUGAUGGUUCAACCAAACCGGUAACCAAAAGAUAUGAUCUCAUGUCCAAAAGAGAUGUCUUUCUAUAGACAUCUCUCCAACCCUGAAACUGUCUAUUGACAGUUAUGCAUAAGGCUUCAUUUUAAAAAGGGGGUGGUUAUGAGAUUCUUUGUAAGAGACUUGGGCAUUUAGGUUGUGGAAAACAGUAAAUUUUCAUUGGUAAAAUCCACUCCUCGAUCAGUGAAUCGAAUCAAAGAGAAAAAUCUAUAAGUGAUCCGAAAUCCUUGCUUAUGUUAAUUUGUUUAUCUUUCACCACGUUUGGUUGCCCCCGACGUGCUCCUGGAGCGAGGAUCCCUUCGCCGGCUUGACACUCUAGUUACCCAUCCAAUUGCCACCACUUGCCCGACAGAAGGUCGCAGAAAAUUGCACAAACUUUAAAGCAUCACUACCCAUAGUAGACUCAAGACCAACAACUUUGUCUCACAGCUUUUCAGCGAAAUGUCUUUACAAAUGUGGAGCGUUAGUGCGGAAUCGCAAUUGAGAAAGGUGUAAAAAAAUCCGAACGGUGGAACUACUAAAUUGAUGCAGGACGGCAGGUACAAGAGGGAGAAAGAGAGAACAAGGAGAGAAGAGGAAGAAGAGAAGAGGAGGGAAAGAAGGAAAACCAGGCUUCUCACAUGGCUCUGGCCAUGGCUUCAUGCCAGGGUUUUAGAGAAAAGAAGGCUAAUUCAUUCAAUCAUUCAUCAAACCCUAAACACGAAAAGAUCCAUAUAUAUAGGGUCACAAAAUAACAAAAAGACCACUACAAAUAACGCAAUCCUAUAAAAACCCUAAAAUGAUAAUAUGCAAAUAAGCUCAAUCGACAUAAAAUAAAAUAAUAUAAAAUCAAUACAAAAUAAAAUCAAACUGGCUGGACUGACUGAACUGGCUGGAUCCUGUAGCGACCAUCGACCUGAGUGAUGGCUGAUCUGGCACUGGUGUCCGCACCAUAAAUGCUCGUGAUCAGACCUAUUUACCUGCUUGCCACUCUGAGUCUCGACCAUACUACCAUGAGAACUGACAUGGUUUAAUUUUGAGAUCCUUUGAACCCCAUUUGAAUAGCUCAUUUUUCUGCGAACUGCAUCAUGAAUAGCUUAUAAGUCCUAUUUAGUGCUGAAGUCAUGAAAAGAAAAAUUCUGGAAGGAUUGAGAAGUUGGCCUCAGUGGCACAAGAAAAUAAUAUGAAUGGCGACCAUGUUCUAGGAGCAGACAAAGUAGAGAAACAAGGAGUACAGACCCCUGUCAACACAUGAGUAUUUUCAUUUAACAAGUCAUUGGUGCCGUUGGUCCAUGUCUCCAGUGAUGGAUCAUUGGAAGGAAAUGCUUCUAAAGUUAGAAGGUUGUUAGGGUGGCCUACACAACAAAGGAUCCAAGGAAGGGUGUGGGGCUAUUUCUCAGUACCAUUCAUGUCCUUUGAGGAGUUAGGAAAUAUGAGCAAGUCGAUGGAGAAGUGUGAAGAGUGUUGCCUCCCUAUCUUGGGGACAUCUAAGGCCCCAUAUUGUAUUUUUUUCCCAGAAAAAGCUUGGGGAGAACUACGGAAGCAGCAUGGCUUAGUUAUGAUGUAUGUGAGUGAGAGGGGGAGGAGAGAGAGAGAGAGAGGCCUCCCUUGGUUUUUGCUAUUUUUUUUGAGGACAUGGUACUAAGAGCACAGCUGGUCCCCAGCUUUUCAGACCAGCCCUGAAGACGAGGGGGAGAGGGUGGGAGGAGCCGGGUGAGGACAAGGGACAAGUUGCAAAGGAGAAUAUCUUUUUAUACCCCAAAAAGAAACUGGAGAAUAUCUUUUGCUUUCAUCACACAAUCUCCUUCUUUAUCGAGUUUGUUUUUGGCCACUUCCUCCACAUGACCAUAUCUCCCCCCAUCCAUCCCACGCUUGGGCUACCAGUUGUGGUGGUUGGGAAUUGGGAUACUUGCGUCCCUCGAAAUCACCGCCACAUGGCGUUGGUGGUGUUUAAGCCUCCGAACCGGCCAUUACCGGGGGGCAAGGACUCUGGUGAGAGACGUAGCAAAUAUCUAGUGUGUAAUUUGUUGGGAUAUCGAUCUCUUUGUUUCUUUUGUUUUUGGAUAUGAUUGGGAUAUGGAUCUAUCACCGGCUUGAACGAGCAAGGGAUGUACGCCAAUCAAACCUUAACAGUUCCAUGUGUUUAUUUGGUUCAGAGUUGGCUCAAUUGGAUCAAAUAUUGUCAAGCCUGGUCCAAAUUAGGUCUAUGUUGAGAAUUUGAAGCUCAACCUUCUAACAAGUGAAAAUUAGAGAGGUAAGGAGGCAGAUGUCCCCUUAAGAGUCAGUGAUAAUGGCUUUUUGUUUAUGAGAAUUUUCUGCAAACAUUGGGUACAACCUUGGAAGACCAAAUGAGAGCAGCAGAAACAUAGAGAGAGAGAGCUGUACUUAUAUUAUUCUCAUGGAAAAAAAAUGAUUUGAUCUUCUUCUUUUUUUUAUAAUGUCAACUGUUAGUGCACAUUCUGCAUGAAUCUCAAAGCACUCCGAACUCUAUCGGUGAUGCAAUCCUUGUCCACAACCCUAAGCUUGACUCAAGCAAGCUUGUUCGACUAUUCUACUUUGCAGUUAUGCUCAUGUGCAAUAUCAUCGAUUCUAAUAUGUGAAACCUCACAAAAUUACAGAUAUUUGUACUUACUUGGCCAUGUGUAAAUAUAUGUAGAAGCAUUCUACUUUUCACCUUUUUAAUGUAUUAUUUACUUGAAGCUCUUAUUCAUCAUCAAAACAUUCGAAAUAAAUUCCAAACAUGAACUCAUAUAUUUUUAUAUUUUUCUUUAAUUAAGAGAACAUCUCUAAACAUUUACUCUUGUGGUCACGUACAAGCCUACCAAAGUUAUCUCUAUGCAAUUCACCUCUGGAUGAUCCCUAAUAUGAAUUUUUUUAUUAUAAAAGUUAUAUAUAAUGGUCAUUCAUUUAUUUAUCUUUAUUGUAUAGUGUCAAAUCUCCUAACGUAACAGUGUAUUAGAUGUGUUUAACCAUCCAUAUUUUGCAACCCCAUCCUUUUGCUUGGUGCCUAGUAUUCAUAUUUUCUAUCCUAAGUUGUUUUAAGCAGUGAUUAUUAACCACAAAAUAGAAGGCCUGGAUCUUUGUAUUAGCAUUUACUAUUCAGUUUUUAAAUAAUUUUAUUAUUGAAAAAUAAAAAGAUAUAGAGCACUACAAGCGUUUGUGGUAAGAGAGCCAUAUAUAUUGAGUCUAGAGGGUUAUUACCAAAAAAAAAUUGUCUCUUUUAACCAUAUUCACUUAAACGACAUAGAUAUUCUAGCUUGUCCUGUCACUCUACAUCUCAGACAUCAAUUGUAUAAGCACCGGAGGCACCACACUUCCAUCAAAUGGUGAAGGACAAAACCUACCAGUAAUUUACUCUGGAAUUAAGGUAAGAGCCACCAGGCUCAUGCUAGUUCCCAAACUUGGCUCUGGAUCUGGCCUAACCAACCUGGACCACACCUAUCCCUUAAAAUUGACACCAAUAAACUCUUGCUACUCUAGUGUCCCUGACCCCACUUGUUCCAAAAAAAAACAAUCUUGCCACCACAGUGCAAGGAACACUUUAGUAGCUGAUUUAGUUCUCUCUCUCUCUCNNNNNNNNNNNNNNNNNNNNCUCUCUCUCUCUCUCUCUCUCUCUCUCUCUCUCUCUCUCUCUCUCUCUCUCUGUGUGUGUGUGUGUCUGCACAUAUGUAUGUACGUAUAUAUGUAUGCAUUGAGGAUUGAGAACCCUUCUGCCUUUGAACUUUACUAAAAAUCAGAAUAAUUCUUCAAAGAAGACAAUAGAGGAGCAAAGAAAGAAAUAAAAGAGAUCAUGAACUGGUGAGCGCCAAAAACCUUCUCAAAGAAUUCCUAGUGAGCCUUAACCAACUUCCUUGAGGGCAAGGCCAUUUGAAGGAAUCCUUUGGAACUUUGUGAAGAACCUGAACGACGCCACAUUUCUUUUUGAGGAACACACUUGGGUUCCUUUCUCUCCAUAGAUUUCAGCAAAUGGCCACUACCAGUUUAUCUAGCUUGAUUAUAAUCGAGGAUAUUCACUCUUUGAUUUCUCCAAACAGCCCAUAUUGAUGGAAGGGAGGGAGGACGACCUUUGAUUCUCAAGCAAGUCUUCACUACAAAAAAAAAAAAAAAAAACAUUCUGGGUUGGAACAGAACAGGUUGGGCCGGGCCACGUGCCUGCCUGAGGUCGACUAGAACUAAUUUUCAGACUUUAGGCCAGGCUCAAGCCCAAAAUUUUUGUUAAAAAAAGCUGGCACAAGCCCGAUCCGAGCCCGCGCCUGGACCCGGCCCGAAACCCAACUGGGCUAGCCCAAUUUAAGCCCAGGCGACCCAAGUUGGCCACCAUGGUUGUCGGACGAUAAAAAGCAAUAAUCAAAAGGGGGACGAGGUGAGCUGGGCAAGGGCAUGGAUGGCGUGGCUCGGGGUGGUGGCGAUAAUGCCGAGGAUGCUCGUGCGAAAGAGGGCGAUGCGGGUGAUGGAAGCAGCAACGAGGUGCACAAAGGGGCAGACAGUGAUAUGAGAGGUGGGGGAGAACGUGGUUGGUGAUGGUCGGGAGGAUACAUCGAAAUGGACCUCCCCAGUCACCCCUUAGCCACAUGGCCACGCCUAAAUUAGAGUUCGAACAAGUCAAUAUAUGAUACUAAAGGGCUGGAUCUUAGUCCGAUUCUGGGCGUGACUUUGGGCUUGAUUUUUUGGGCCUGGUUAGGCUCAACCUUGGGUCAGGGCACAUAUCUACUCGAGCUCAGCCCAAAAUAUAUAUAUGGGCUCUGAUUUUUAGCCCAAACCUGAUCUAGAACUAGUCAGGCCUAGCCUGGAGCCCAACCAGAAGAUGGCCCGGGCCUACUUCAAGCCCGACUCAAAGGUAGGGAUGAAAUCGAAUCGGAUACGGAUUGGAUACUAACAUAUCCAUAUCCAAAUUUAUUUUCUUUGACGAAUACAAAUACAGAUGGUAUGUUAGUCGAAUGCAAAAAUUCACAUCCAUAUUUAUUUUAAACGGAUAUGGAUAUAAAUCUAAUACCAAAAAUAUAGACAUAAAUACAGAUAUAAAUCAGAUAAUUAAACUUUAUGACCACAGAAUCAAAGAUAUUACUAAGUGGGUGAUAAAUUAAGUUAAUAGUAUGUUAAUAUGAUCAUUUAUUUUUCUUAAAAGUUUAUGAGUGCCAUAUAUAAUUCAAUAGGAUUACAACUAAAAUCAGAUAUUCGGAUAUAGAUCCGAUAAUAGUCUAUCCAUAUCUAUUUUUCUUUGACAAAUAUAGAUACGAAUACGGAUAUAAGUCAAAUGCUCAAAUUUCCAUCCAUACCUGAAUAGAUUCAGAUACGAAAAUAGAUCUGGACGGAUAUUAUCCGAUCCACUUUCACCCCUACUCAAGGGGCAUAGUAAAAGAAAGUGUGAGACAUUUUUAGCAGCCACUCCAUAUAAGGAAUAAGAAGUUAGUAUAAAUAGUUCCUUAUUAAUCUAAUCAUAGCGAUGGAAGAAAUCCAUUCAAUCCAUUUAAUUCGAAUCUUUUUAAAGAAAAUUAAAAAUAAAAAUCCAAAUCAAAAGUAGGAUCUAGGUCCUCCUUUUCUUAUUAGUGAACAAUAAAACUGAUUUACAAAGUCUCCGUCUAUACUAGUAAAUUCCAUUGUAUAAUUCAGGUGGAAUUGCUCUUCUAAAUAAGAAAAAAAAAACUUACAUCUUUCUUGAAAUUAAAAUGACUAGUAAACAUCAUCAUGAAAAAAAUAAAAUUCUACAAGAGAUAGAUCUCGAUUUUGUCUUUUACUACCUUAUCUAACUCUUCCAAUAAUACUUAUGCUCGAUCAAAGCGUAUCCCUAAUAGAUUUUUUUAUUUUGAUUAGCCCAUUUUGAAGCCCAAACAUGGAAUUUGGCAUUGAUAGCUAGGCAUAUUGAGCCCUUCAUGAGAUCCNNNNNNNNNNNNNNNNNNNNNNNNNNNNNNNNNNNNNNNNNNNNNNNNNNNNNNNNNNNNNNNNNNNNNNNNNNNNNNNNNNNNNNNNNNNNNNNNNNNNNNNNNNNNNNNNNNNNNNNNNNNNNNNNNNNNNNNNNNNNNNNNNNNNNNNNNNNNNNNNNNNNNNNNNNNNNNNNNNNNNNNNNNNNNNNNNNNNNNNNNNNNNNNNNNNNNNNNNNNNNNNNNNNNNNNNNNNNNNNNNNNNNNNNNNNNNNNNNNNNNNNNNNNNNNNNNNNNNNNNNNNNNNNNNNNNNNNNNNNNNNNNNNNNNNNNNNNNNNNNAUGUAAAAAAUCUGAGUCUUCUCCGGAGUAAGUAGGGGCAGAGAACCAUCCCCCCACGGUUAAUGAAUAAUGAACUAAUAGAGAGAGGCCUCGCUAGCUGAAACAGAUCGUUGUAGCUUGUCCAGCUCUUCACUUUCAGAUCUUAGUAGAGGCAAUGUUAUAGAGAUAUUCCAGCUUAAGGUUCGCCAUCUCCAUUAUCAAGCAAUGAAGUGUCAGUGUCCAGUCACUCAUCCUCCUGAAAGUGAAUGCUUUUGCCAUUACUUACUUUCAAGGGAACGUAAUUCUUGAAAACGUAAUUCAAGAAAGCUGCGAAGCUCUUUGUAAAUGUCUCUGGAUGUAGGUGAAAGGCCCAUCAGAGAGAUUCUGCUUCUCCAAGCCAGUCUGAUAAGCCUCAUAACUGAUUCUUUUUGCAAUGACCUCGAUGCCCAUUUUGCCACUAAGGAAGAGUUAAGGUCGAGGUCGGUGAGAUUUUUGACCUCUCGAAAUACUUGCUUUAACCAAAAUAUGACUCCUUUAUCUCGCAUUAAUAGUUAACAUUGCUGGAAAAUAUAUAGAAUAACCAUCAUUUGAAAAAUAUUAAGAACAAGAAGAUUUCUUAUAAGAAAAUAUCCUAAGUUUUCCAAUUAAACCUGUUCGUUUUUCACUUAUUUUUACAUGGUAUCUAAUUUGAGAGCGAGCAUGUGGCCCACUUUGCCUGAGUUAGCAUUGAGAAAUCUUCAUUUCAAGACUCUUUUUAAGUCUUAACAGGUUUCUACAUGGGUCGUCCCUCCAUGCUAAAGUAAAAGAUGGCAAUACUAGUCCAACUUCUUCGGAAUAAAGAUGAAGUAAAUGGCACGGAAGGUGGUUCAUAAAUAAGCCAAGUUCAGAAAAUAUAUAACCCAAAUUCCGACUAUUAUUUUACCAUAUGAGAAUCCAGAGGACAGAAUGAGCAAUGAAUCAAUUUCCAGUAAAUAUAAAUACGGCACUGAGAGAGAGAGCCAAUGCCCCCUAGCGGAAAGACUGGCAAGAGCACCAAUAAACGAGACCCCAACUAUGAGGAUAAGCAGCAACAAACUUAAAAUUCUAGAGUGAAAAUUUUAGCAAAAAGCUUAACAUUCUAGAGUGGAAAAACUUAAGUCUUGGCUCACCUCAAUUGCUUACACAUGUCAGCUAAAAAAUCUUGGUGCUCCAUACAACUGAAGACUGAACUUGCUGAAAAGGAUUCAUAACCAUGAUAACAAAUGAAGUCGCGAGUCUCACCAAUCGUUUUCAACAAUUGCUUGUGAUUCCAUGAAUAAGAAAAGAAUGAAUUCCUACUUGCAUAUUAGAAAGAAUUAUACCACACCUUAAAAGAUUCCCUUGUAAUCCCACUUCAACAUUGCUAGCCUGCUAAAAUUUACAAAAUGCCAUCGUCCUAUCCUAAAGGAGAAAAUGGACCAGGAGAAGUCCUUUAGCAGUUCUCCCCAAACUCAGGCUUUGUAGCUUCAUCAAACCACACAACAAGAUGCAAAAUUGAAUGAAUAAAAUUUUGCCAUGAAAAAUACCAUCAGGCAUCUGUGCGAUCUGAUCACUGUUCAGAUAGGCAAGUAUUGUUGAAUUACACGUACAGCAAUCAAAAUUCUUAAUUUAAAGAGUUAAAUUAAUCUUGGAUGAGUUUUUUCGAUCUCGCCACUCUGUUAAGCCAGAGGAAUGUAUUAUUGAAUGAAAUAAGUAGCACCAUUCUAGCACCUCAACACCAUUCUAGCGCCUCAAGCCCUGCAAGAUGUAUUCAGCAUAAAGAUCCCUGCAGUGGCAUGCACCAGACAAAUUUUCAGAAUAGGAACAUAAAAAGAGGCAUGUCUUUUGUCAAUAGCAUAAUAGCUAUCAAAGAGACCUGCAACUCAUAUUGUACAAGGAUCAAUGAAUAGCUUAUAAACUAAGUUCCAUCAUAACCACGAAUGGAAAUUUGAGACGUUUGGCAUCAAAGUAAUGGGGGAUAAACUAUGAUUGCUCUUACAAGAAAGUGGUAGCUGACACCAACUUACAUGGAGUGCUGGACGGCUUCAUGGGCAGCAACUGCAGGCAAAAAUUCAUCGACUGCGACUUCUUUAUUCUCAUUUUUUUUAUCUACAUCAUUAUCAAGGAUCCUAGUGGUCCGAAGAGGGAAGUCAAAAAUUUGAUAACUAAGCAGAUAAAAGUUCUUUAAGGAUUAGGGAAGAAUUAAAAAAAGGAUACAGUCUUCAAAGAAGCGUCGAAUUUCAGCAAGACGAUGAGGAGAGAGCUCGUUUAUGUCAUUGUAGUGGCGGUACUCGGGAUCAUCAGCACAAACUGCAAUGAUCUUAUCAUCUUUCUCACCCUGUUGCCGACACAAGUAGGCAUGGAACUCAGGUUAAAGUUAACAAGAAAGGACAAAGAAAAGAAAUCAUAGUUCAUGUGCUUCAAAAUAUACUACCUGAUCGAUCAUAGGCAUAAGACCAAUAGCCCUUGCUCGAAGAAAGCACCCAGGAAGGACUGGUUCCUGCUCCAAUAUCAGUUAUUCAAAGAAACAUUACUUUUGACUGUUUCUAAUAACCAAAGUCACAAGUUCAGUGUUCAAAACAAGUUGGCUAAGAUUUGGAGUUCCAAAAUGCAGAGGACUUGCCAAAAGUUCGGAAAGAAUUGGAUUUUAAUCUUCAAGAAAACAAAAGUUAAACAAAAUAUACAUUAUAAUAUAAAUGGCAUAUUUAUAUAUUUGUUAAUGUAAGUACAAGCAUUGGAGAGGGAAGAAUGAUAGCACUAUGAUAGCAAGUAGUGCAAAGUACCAUCAUCACCAAUAACACGGCAUCAUUAAUUUGUAAUACAUGGAGAAAAGGGGCGUGAAGUGCAUGAGGCUCCCACCACUGCAAGGCUUAGAGAGAGUUAUGUGCAUGCAGCCUUAUCCUAUCAAGAGGCUGUUUUCAUAUUUCAAACUCAUAACACUCAUGUCAUAAUGGAGCAACCUUAUUGUUAUGCCAAGGCUUGCCGUCUUGUAAUAUAUAAAAGUUUGUUAAAUUAGCUAUGAACAAGUCAUCAAUAAAUCGCAAAAUUUGUAAAUAAUUACAAAUAUUGAUUCAUUUAGUCACUAAGAAUAAAUUGGAGAAUUAUUGGAUCGGGUAAAAAGUGAGUAAUUCAAGAAUCUCAGUUAUUCACAGAACAAUUUUCCUGUUUUAAUAACAUUGUUAGACACAAACUUGAAUUACUGUACAGAGAAAAUUAAGAGUAUGUAGAAAAAAGAAAAUUAAGAACUAGAGGUACAAAUUUCGAUUGAGAACCCUGGGAGACUCAUUGAAAUUUUCAACUGUCAUAUCAAGUAGUAUGCCAGCUAAAAAAAUUUAAAUACAUAUAUAUAAAAAGAAACAUAUAACUAAGUAAUCUAAAUCAAAUUGCUGAUGAGCGGUAUCAAGUCACCUGCAUCAGGACCAAAACAUCCAAAGGGUCACCAUCAUCACAAAGUGUGCGUGGUAUGAAACCAUAAUUAUGAGGAUAGACCACUGAUGAAUACAAGACACGAUCAACCUGAGAUCACAUUGCCAUUAAAUUCAUUAAUGAGAAAAGAUGAAUGAAAGUCUCACUAAAUUAAAAAAAAAAAUAAGCGUAUGAAAGCAACUUGAAGCAUCAAGAUCCCCUUUUUCAAGGGAAUACUAGAAAUUUAACCAAUUGGAGAGACUGCAUCUCCAAAGGAAAAUUCUUUUACUUAAAAUAGAUAUCAGUUCUAAUAUAGCCCACACAUCUCAGACAUCAUCAGAUGAGGCCAGAGCAGAAACGAAAUACACACCUUAAUCAAUCCUGUUUUCUUGUCAAGUUCAUAUUUAACUUUACUUCCUUUUGUUAUCUCGACAACCUAAACCACAUGGAAAAAUGAAAAUAAAGCACAUCAGCAAUAGUAAAUUAAAAUAAAAUACAGAAAGCAAUUAACUCCUGUCUAUACUGCACCACUAUCUUAUUUUCUUUUCAUUUUAUUUACUAUCCUUCAACAUGUAUGCCAAGAGUAAUAGUAAAUAAAUUAAAAUAGAAGACAACGACUUAAAAGAAUUUCAUGAAAUAAACGAUCAAGUCAUUCCUAUAGAUAAUGCCCCUCUAUCUAUAUUUAUCAAGAAAAUUAAGCAAAUAACUAGAACCGUGCUGAAAACCAAAGCCAUAGCCUCCCAAAACAUAGGCCUCAACCCUUUGGAAGUUUUGCUUCCUUUAUGGCCAUAGCAAGCGAGGUAUAUAAUCUAUUUAGCAUCUCUUACAGCUUCUGAACACCUUUUGUCUUGGAUUUUGGACGUAUGUAUCUUGACAACAACAUGCUCCAAACUUCAACCAUCCAUUAAGCAGCAUCAUGCUUUGAAGUUUAGUGUUUACAUGGAGUGUCUUCAGUGUCAUGCCUCCAUUUGAUCAUCUUCUUAAAAAUGCUAAGAAUCUAGGCCUCCUUGGUGAAUGGAGAAGCCAAAUUAAGAUAAUAUUUUUCUCCAUCACCCUUUCCAUCAAAAUAUAUUUAACAUAAGGCACAGAGACCUUUACUUCUCAAAAUCUACAAAGCGAAAGAUUUGUUGAACAUCCUCUUGGUAAAGUCAAGAAAGGAGUUCCAUGUAAUUUUCCAGUUCUUCUUCAAAAAGCCUCUUCCGAAUUCAAGAUACAAAUCACUAUCUUCCACAUAAAAUUUUGUAGCAUCCAUCAUAAAAUAUUUAAUACAGGAUACAGGCAGCUCUUUAAUAACAUUCGUGUUCUGUGAAUUUAUCUGUCAUUUGUUCCUAUCAAGGGUUGUCUCCCGUAUCUUCAUGCCUUCUAAAAUCCUUACUUGCAACUUCCUAUCUUCCAAGGUCAAACACAAGAUUUAGAAUGCAGCAUAUUCACCCUCUUUAGCAUCUAAGACCUCACCUAGCUCAUCAAGAAUCUGGGGAUCGCUGUAAUGUUGGAGCAUAUGAUAACAAUUGGGAAGAAACAAAGAAGAAAAAAGAGAAGACUUGGAAUUUGUAAAGAGAUCAAUUAGGGAUUAGACAGAGAACAAAAGAGCCUAGGACAAUCAACACCGACUUUAGAUCAGACAGGGAAAACAAGAGAAGAAAAACAAUAAAAGAACAUAGUAACAUGUAUUCAAGAAAAAGAAAAGAAAAUGGUGCUCAAUGGAAACUCAUGAAAUACAUUUUGUUCCAAGAAACUAACAGAGCCUGUUGCUGGUUAUUUGGGUGAGACGUGUGACAAGGAGCUAAUGAAAUUCCCUUCCGAUCUAUGACCACAUAUAUGCCUCAAAUGAAUAGACUGUCAAUUUAAUUGUUUUUCAUAU